GAUGAACGCUAGCGGCAGGCUUAAUACAUGCAAGUCGAGGGGCAGCAGGGUGGUAGCAAUACCACUGCUGGCGACCGGCAAACGGGUGCGGAACACGUACGCAAUCUACCCAGAACUGGGGCAUAGCCCUCCGAAAGGAGGAUUAAUACCCCGUACUCUUUGAAGGUGGCAUCACCUUCUUAGAAAAGCUCCGGCGGUUUUGGAUUGGCGUGCGGCUGAUUAGGUAGUUGGCGGGGUAACGGCCCACCAAGCCUGCGAUCAGUAACUGGUGUGAGAGCACGACCAGUCACACGGGCAAUGAGACACGGGCCCGACUCCUACGGGAGGCAGCAGUAAGGAAUAUUGGUAAAUGGCCGCAAGGCUGAACCAGCCAUGCCGCGUGAAGGAUGAAGGUCCUCUGGAUUGUAAACUUCUUUUACAGGGGAAGAAACCGCUUUUUUCCAAAAGCGUUGACGGUGCCCUGGGAAUAAGCACCGGCUAACUCCGUGCCAGCCGCCGCUGUAACAC
rnacentral:rRNA from 1 species